rnacentral:rRNA from 1 species
GACGAACGCUGGCGGCGUGCUUAACACAUGCAAGUCGAACGGAAAGGCCCUGCUUUUGUGGGGUGCUCGAGUGGCGAACGGGUGAGUAACACGUGAGUAACCUGCCCUUGACUUUGGGAUAACUUCAGGAAACUGGGGCUAAUACCGGAUAGGAGCUCCUGCUGCAUGGUGGGGGUUGGAAAGUUUCGGCGGUUGGGGAUGGACUCGCGGCUUAUCAGCUUGUUGGUGGGGUAGUGGCUUACCAAGGCUUUGACGGGUAGCCGGCCUGAGAGGGUGACCGGCCACAAUAGGACUGAGAUACGGAGCAGACUCCUACGGGAGGCAGCAGUGGGGAGUAUUGCACAGUGGGCGGAAGCCUGAUGCAACGACGCCGCGUGCGGGAUGACGGCCUUCGGGUUGUAAACCGCUUUCGCCUGUGACGAAGCGUGAGUGACGGUAAUGGGUAAAGAAGCACCGGCUAACUACGUG